UGGUAUUUUGACUAUACAAAGGUAUUGUAAUAAGAUUUUAAUUGAAUGCUAAAAGAAUGGAAAUUUAAAGAGAAACUUUUUUAAAAAUAAAAAUUGAAUUUUUUUUAAUUUGUGCAAAAACAAUUAUUACUAUUAAAGACAAGAAGACCCUAAGAAUUUAAGAUUUUUCUAAAAAAAAUUUCUUUUGGAAAAAUCUUGAUUGGGGCGAUCGAAAAAUAUUAAUAACUUUUAAUAAUUUAAAUUGAUCUAUUAUUAAUAAGCUAAUGAAUAAAAUACUCUAGGGAUAACAGCGUAAUAAUUUUUGAUAGACCUUAUUGACAAAAUAGUUUGCGACCUCGAUGUUGGAUUAGG
rnacentral:rRNA from 1 species